UGAGGGAGCCUGUGCCCAUCCGGCCCAGUCGCUUUCAGGGCCGCUGCGGAGCUGCCGCUGCCAUCUUUGGAUCUUGUGUCCCGCACGGGGGCUCCACCAGGGCAGGGAUGGUGAAUGAGGAGAAAUUGAAGGGAAAAUGGAGAUGAACCUGAAAGAGCCCCAAACGCGAGAACGUGUACCUCCCCCAAGAAAAAGAUCUUCCAGAAGAACGAGACAGAAAAACUAGGCAUCUGGGAACCGUGAAAUCCUUGGAGGAGUAGCAUCAUCGUGAUCCUCUGUGUUCCUUUUAACAGAAGGACUUGCUUCCAUUGUUUGUUUGUUCAAUUGUUUGUGUUUGUUAAAUAAAUAAAACUCUUUUCAUGUAUCUUUGAAA